rnacentral:rRNA from 1 species
UAAUAAUAUUAUUAUUUAAUUUUUUUGUGAUUUAUAAAAUUUAAUAGAAGUAAUUUUUUUGUUUUAUUGUCUUAGUAUAUUUUAUAGAACAGAUUUUAUUUAUUAUAGUUUAUUAGUAAAGUAAUUGGAUUUUGAAAUAUUUUUAAAUUUAAAAAAAGUAGAUUUAUUUUAUUGUACCUUUUGUAUCAGGGUUAAUCAAAAUUUUAUUAUUUAUUUAUUUAUCUCGAUUUAGGUUGAUUUAAAAUUAAUUUAAAUUUAAUGUAUCAUAAUUAUUUUAAAAUUAAUUUUAGAAAUGAAAUGUUAUUCGUUUCCUAAUAUAUCUAGUUUCUUAAGAAAAAAUUUAAUUUUUAGUGGUUAGUAGUUUUUAUUUAAUUUUUUAGAUUUUAAUAUUAACCUAUUUAUUCUUUAGGGGAUGAGCUCUAAAGUUAAUAUCCUAUAAUUUUAUAAUUUUGAAUAUAAUAGUAGGCUUUAAACCAGUUAUCUACAGGAUUACGUUUUAGUUCAUUAUUUUUAAUAUUUAUUUUUUAAUUAUUUUAGGUAUUAUAUUAAGAUUAAAGGUUUAAUUUUAUAACUUUUGUAAUAAUGAUUGAAUUAGUAUAAUUUAUUGUUUAUAGUAUUUUAAUUUAUAAUUUAUUAUGAGGAAUUAGGCAAAUAUAAUUUCCGCCUGUUUAUCAAAAACAUGUCUUCUUGAUAAUAUUAUGAAGUCUGGCCUGCUCACUGACAAGGUUUUAAAGAGCCGCGGUAUUUUGACCGUGCAAAGGUAGCAUAAUCAUUAGUUUCUUAAUUAGGGGCUGGAAUGAAUGGCUUGACGAGAAAUUUUCUGUCUUUUAAUAAUUUAUAGAAUUUAACUUUUAAGUUAAAAGGCUUAAAUUUUUCUUUAGGACGAGAAGACCCUAUAGAGCUUUACAUUUUAUUUUUUUAUAAUUUUUUGAUGUUCUUUUUAUAAAAAAUGAUAAUGUUGUGUUGGGGUGACAUGAAGAAUAAUUAAACUCUUCAUUAUAAAAUCAUUAAUUUAUGUUAUAAUUGAUCCAUAAUUUAUGAUCAGAAGAUAAAGUUACCUUAGGGAUAACAGCGUAAUUGUUUUUGAGAGUUCAUAUCAACAAAGCAGAUUGCGACCUCGAUGUUGGAUUAAGAAAAAUUUUGGGUGCAGUAGUUCAAAAAUUAGGUCUGUUCGACCUUUAAAUUCUUACAUGAUCUGAGUUCAGACCGGCGUGAGCCAGGUCGGUUUCUAUCCUAAGUUAAUUUAUUCAUGUUAGUACGAAAGGACCAUAUGAUUAAAAUAUUUUUUUUUAAUUUUGAUUAAAAUUAAUUU